rnacentral:rRNA from 1 species
AGAACGAACGCUGGCGGCAUGCCUAAUACAUGCAAGUCGGACGAACUCUUCGGAGUUAGUGGCGCACGGGUGCGUAACGCGUGGGAAUCUGCCCUUGGGUUCGGAAUAACAGUUGGAAACGACUGCUAAUACCGGAUGAUGACGAAAGUCCAAAGAUUUAUCGCCCAGGGAUGAGCCCGCGUAGGAUUAGCUAGUUGGUGAGGUAAAGGCUCACCAAGGCGACGAUCCUUAGCUGGUCUGAGAGGAUGAUCAGCCACACUGGGACUGAGACACGGCCCAGACUCCUACGGGAGGCAGCAGUAGGGAAUAUGGACAAUGGGCAAAGCCUGAUCCAGCAAUGCCGCGUGAGUGAUGAAGCCUUAGGUGUAAAGCCUUUACCGAGAUGAUAAUGACAGUAUCGGAGAAUAAGCCCGGCUAACUCCGCGCCAGCAGCCGC